rnacentral:rRNA from 1 species
GACGUAGGGCGCGAGCGUUGUCCGGAUUUAUUGGGCGUAAAGAGCGUGUAGGCGGCUAGGUAGGUCCGUUGUGAAAACUCGAGGCUCAACCUCGAGACGCCGGUGGAAACCAUCUAGCUAGAGUCCGGAAGAGGAGAGUGGAAUUCCUGGUGUAGCGGUGAAAUGCGCAGAUAUCAGGAAGAACACCCGUGGCGAAGGCGGCUCUCUGGUACGUGACUGACGCUGAGACGCGAAAGCGUGGGGAGCGAACAGG